UACGGGGGGGGCAAGCGUGUUCGGAAUUACUGGGCGUAAAGGGCUCGUAGGCGGCCAACUAAGUCGGAUGUGAAUCCCCAGGCUCAACCUGGAACUGCGUCCGAUACUGGAAGGCUUGAAUCCGGGAGAGGGAUGCGGAAUUCCAGGUGUAGCGGUGAAAUGCGCAGAUAUCAGGAGGAACACCGUGGCGAAGGCGGGUCUCUGGGCCGAUACUGACGCUGAGGAGCGAAAGCGUGGGGAGCAAACAG
rnacentral:rRNA from 1 species